rnacentral:rRNA from 1 species
CAUAGGUUAAUGAGGCGAACCGGGGGAACUGAAACAUCUAAGUACCCCGAGGAAAAGAAAUCAACCGAGAUUCCCCCAGUAGCGGCGAGCGAACGGGGAGCAGCCCAGAGCCUGAAUCAGUGUGUGUGUUAGUGGAAGCGUCUGGAAAGGCGCGCGAUACAGGGUGACAGCCCCGUACACAAAAAUGCACAUAUUGUGAGCUCGAUGAGUAGGGCGGGACACGUGGUAUCCUGUCUGAAUAUGGGGGGACCAUCCUCCAAGGCUAAAUACUCCUGACUGACCGAUAGUGAACCAGUACCGUGAGGGAAAGGCGAAAAGAACCCCGGCGAGGGGAGUGAAAAAGAACCUGAAACCGUGUACGUACAAGCAGUGGGAGCACGCUUAGGCGUGUGACUGCGUACCUUUUGUAUAAUGGGUCAGCGACUUAUAUUCUGUAGCAAGGUUAACCGAAUAGGGGAGCCGAAGGGAAACCGAGUCUUAACUGGGCGUUAAGUUGCAGGGUAUAGACCCGAAACCCGGUGAUCUAGCCAUGGGCAGGUUGAAGGUUGGGUAACACUAACUGGAGGACCGAACCGACUAAUGUUGAAAAAUUAGCGGAUGACUUGUGGCUGGGGGUGAAAGGCCAAUCAAACCGGGAGAUAGCUGGUUCUCCCCGAAAGCUAUUUAGGUAGCGCCUCGUGAAUUCAUCUCCGGGGGUAGAGCACUGUUUCGGCAAGGGGGUCAUCCCGACUUACCAACCCGAUGCAAACUGCGAAUACCGGAGAAUGUUAUCACGGGAGACACACGGCGGGUGCUAACGUCCGUCGUGAAGAGGGAAACAACCCAGACCGCCAGCUAAGGUCCCAAAGUCAUGGUUAAGUGGGAAACGAUGUGGGAAGGCCCAGACAGCCAGGAUGUUGGCUUAGAAGCAGCCAUCAUUUAAAGAAAGCGUAAUAGCUCACUGGUCGAGUCGGCCUGCGCGGAAGAUGUAACGGGGCUAAACCAUGCACCGAAGCUGCGGCAGCGACGCUUAUGCGUUGUUGGGUAGGGGAGCGUUCUGUAAGCCUGUGAAGGUGUGCUGUGAGGCAUGCUGGAGGUAUCAGAAGUGCGAAUGCUGACAUAAGUAACGAUAAAGCGGGUGAAAAGCCCGCUCGCCGGAAGACCAAGGGUUCCUGUCCAACGUUAAUCGGGGCAGGGUGAGUCGACCCCUAAGGCGAGGCCGAAAGGCGUAGUCGAUGGGAAACAGGUUAAUAUUCCUGUACUUGGUGUUACUGCGAAGGGGGGACGGAGAAGGCUAUGUUGGCCGGGCGACGGUUGUCCCGGUUUAAGCGUGUAGGCUGGUUUUCCAGGCAAAUCCGGAAAAUCAAGGCUGAGGCGUGAUGACGAGGCACUACGGUGCUGAAGCAACAAAUGCCCUGCUUCCAGGAAAAGCCUCUAAGCAUCAGGUAACAUCAAAUCGUACCCCAAACCGACACAGGUGGUCAGGUAGAGAAUACCAAGGCGCUUGAGAGAACUCGGGUGAAGGAACUAGGCAAAAUGGUGCCGUAACUUCGGGAGAAGGCACGCUGAUAUGUAGGUGAAGCGACUUGCUCGUGGAGCUGAAAUCAGUCGAAGAUACCAGCUGGCUGCAACUGUUUAUUAAAAACACAGCACUGUGCAAACACGAAAGUGGACGUAUACGGUGUGACGCCUGCCCGGUGCCGGAAGGUUAAUUGAUGGGGUCAGCGCAAGCGAAGCUCUUGAUCGAAGCCCCGGUAAACGGCGGCCGUAACUAUAACGGUCCUAAGGUAGCGAAAUUCCUUGUCGGGUAAGUUCCGACCUGCACGAAUGGCGUAAUGAUGGCCAGGCUGUCUCCACCCGAGACUCAGUGAAAUUGAACUCGCUGUGAAGAUGCAGUGUACCCGCGGCAAGACGGAAAGACCCCGUGAACCUUUACUAUAGCUUGACACUGAACAUUGAGCCUUGAUGUGUAGGAUAGGUGGGAGGCUUAGAAGUGUGGACGCCAGUCUGCAUGGAGCCGACCUUGAAAUACCACCCUUUAAUGUUUGAUGUUCUAACGUUGACCCGUAAUCCGGGUUGCGGACAGUGUCUGGUGGGUAGUUUGACUGGGGCGGUCUCCUCCUAAAGAGUAACGGAGGAGCACGAAGGUUGGCUAAUCCUGGUCGGACAUCAGGAGGUUAGUGCAAUGGCAUAAGCCAGCUUGACUGCGAGCGUGACGGCGCGAGCAGGUGCGAAAGCAGGUCAUAGUGAUCCGGUGGUUCUGAAUGGAAGGGCCAUCGCUCAACGGAUAAAAGGUACUCCGGGGAUAACAGGCUGAUACCGCCCAAGAGUUCAUAUCGACGGCGGUGUUUGGCACCUCGAUGUCGGCUCAUCACAUCCUGGGGCUGAAGUAGGUCCCAAGGGUAUGGCUGUUCGCCAUUUAAAGUGGUACGCGAGCUGGGUUUAGAACGUCGUGAGACAGUUCGGUCCCUAUCUGCCGU